rnacentral:rRNA from 1 species
UCAUUGCUGGAACAAACGCCCUCACGGGUGCUACCCAGAAACCCUUUGUGAACAAUACCUAAAAAUGUUGCCUCGGCGCAGGUUGGCUUCCCUAGUGAGGUCCCCUAUUUUUCGGAAUAGGGAGCAGACCGGCCGGUGGCCCCCUAAACUCUUGUUUUUGUAAAAUCAUCUGAGUAAAAAAAAUAAAUGAAUCAAAACUUUCAACAACGGAUCUCUUGGUUCUGGCAUCGAUGAAGAACGCAGCGAAAUGCGAUAAGUAAUGUGAAUUGCAGAAUUCAGUGAAUCAUCGAAUCUUUGAACGCACAUUGCGCCCAGUGGUAUUCCACUGGGCAUGCCUGUUCGAGCGUCAUUUCAACCCUCAAAGCCUAAGCUUUGUUGUUGGAGGAAGGCCUGUAAAAAGGCCCCCUCUCAAAUUUAGUGGCGGGCUCGCUAGAAUUUUGAGCGUAGUAAUUUUACCUCGUUUUUAAAGACUAGUGAGACUUCUUGCCGUAAAACACCCUAAUUUCUGA